rnacentral:lncRNA from 1 species
GUUCCAAAGUGCUCAGCCUCAAGGUCUCGCACAAUCCGGCCACUUGGUCCGUCUCCAGCUGUUCCUCCUGUCGCUUUCCCUUUCCUGCCUGAGGACACAAGUCUUGAUGCUCCCUGCCCCUCCGAAGAGGAACUAAUCUCAGAGCUUUCGCUGCGCUUUCCUCCUGCCCCUCUCCUGCUUCCACCCUCUUCAAGCCAGAUCCUGCUCCUCCUUCAGAUCUCACUCUACAUCCUCACUGCAAAUGGGGAUACGAUUGCAGGCCAUCCUUACAAGGUUGUGAGCAACCUUACUGAAGCAUUUAAACAGGCAUUUUCUGAGAGAUAUAAUGGUCCUGACUCAUCAACACUAUUCACUGGAAAUCAACGGAAGCUAGCCUCCGCCACCACCUUAAAUUUGUUUAAUUACUUGGGGAAAAAAUAAAUAUGGGCAUUGAUUUGGAUUUCGUGCUUUUUUUUCUGAGUUGAGAUUUUUUUUUUUAAU